AUUGAACGCUGGCGGCAGGCUUAACACAUGCAAGUCGAGCGAGCGGAGGACGGGUGAGUAAUGUCUGGGAAACUGCCUGAUGGAGGGGGAUAACUACUGGAAACGGUAGCUAAUACAGCAUAGCCUCAGAUGUGCCCAGAUGGGAUUGGCUAGUAGGUGGGGUAAUUGCGCCCCUAGGUGACGAUCCCUAGCUGGUCUGUAAGGAUGACCAGCCACACUGGAACUGAGCUACGUUCCAGCCUCCUACGUGAGGCAGCAGUGGGGAAUUGUGCACAAUGGGCACAAGCCGGAUGCAGCCGUGCCGCGUGUUUGAAGAAGUCCUUCGGGUUGUAAAGCACUUUCAGCGAGGAGGCGUUACUCGCAGAAGAAGCACCGGCUAACUCCGUGCCAGCAGCCGCGGUAAUAC
rnacentral:rRNA from 1 species